UACGGAGGAUCCAAGCGUUAUCCGGAAUCAUUGGGUUUAAAGGGUCCGUAGGCGGUUUUGUAAGUCAGUGGUGAGAGCCCAUCGCUCAACGGUGGAACGGCCAUUGAUACUGCAAGACUUGAAUUAUUGGGAAGUAACUAGAAUAUGUAGUGUAGCGGUGAAAUGCGUAGAUAUAUGGAAGAACAUCAAUAACGGCGAAGGCAGUUAACUAUUCUGUUACUGACAUUGAGGCACGAAAGCGUGGGGAGCAAAACGG
rnacentral:rRNA from 1 species